rnacentral:lncRNA from 1 species
GUUGGAGCUUCCAGCUUUGCUAGUGGAACUCAUUGGAAUGUCCAUGAAAAUCACCACAGAGUUCAGACAUAGUUCUUAACUGGCAAAACUGUCCUAAAAUGACUGGACUCUGAUGCAGCUGCCUUGGGAGAAGUGGGAGAAAUAACAGUCCCACUUCAGCGAUCUGCAAACUAAGGUCUGGGCUUGAUGUUCACCGAUUUUCCCUCAGCUCCGACUGUGGCUCCUCUCAGCUGACUCUGACCCUGCUCUCAGCCGGGCUGCAUCUGCCCAUCUCAGCACAUCAAUAAACAGCAGAGGGAAACUACCACCUUGGAAGGAGCCAGGCAGUUUCUGCUGGGUAGGCCGCAGCCUGGAACAUGGAAGUAGCUUCUUCCAUCCUACACUGGAAACCACCCAGCAUCCCGGGCCCUCCAGAGAAGAGCCAGACUCCCUUCCCUGGGAAGAGACUAUAGUCCUAUCUGUAUCCUCCGUGGUCAUUGCCCCUCAGUCACAGCAAUGAAGAGCAAAUUACCUGUUUUCUGUAUGUUCCUCUGACAACAACUGCCACAGAGUAAAUAUGAAAGGUUCUGGAUGAUUCCUUGUCAGCUUUUAUUAAAAUUCCACAUACUUGGCAUUUCUUAGCUAUCUGGGUUGACUCCUGGUUCCACCCCUUACUAGUUGCGUGACCUUGAAAAAGUGACUUACCUUCUCACAUUCUCAGUUUCCAUAUCUGUCAAGUGUAGGUAAAAGCACCAAACUGGUAGAGUUAUUUUGAGAAUUAUAUGAGUUCUGAGUGAGAGGGUGCUAAGACCUUGCUGGUUAGAGUGGUUUUUCAAUCCUGAUCACCUCCUUCUCCCUCUUAGCUUCUUUUCUCCUCCCCCUCCUGCUUCUAGUCUAGGCUUCUGGCAAUUUUGACGUAACAAAAGUGGGAUUCCUUCAUUCCUGACUUCAGAGCUUUUCCUUACUUCAGUAUUGCAUGAUAAUUCUCAAGCCUGUUCUUUACAUAAAUACAAAAAGGAGAAAGUGAAAUAGUAGAGGAACCGACCGAUUUGAAGGAGCUGCCACUAUUUGAUUCCUCCUGUUAGGACAUCUGAAUGACCCCAAGUUCCUGUUCUUGAGGCUGUUGUAUCAUAUUCUUAAAAGCUAUGCAUGCAUUCUGCUUUGAAUGUGUCCCUCAGCCUCAUUCUUCUCCACUUGCUGGGGGCCAUCCCGCCCCACGGGAAGGUAAGUUCAGGCUCAGAAGGAAAGACACGACAAAAAAAUCUUGCUUUUAUUUUUGUUGUCUAAAAUCAUGUUUCAUGCUCUUCUUUGAAUAAAAUCCAGGACUCCAGAGAUGACCUGUUACUUUUCUUUCAGCAAGUCUCUAAUUUGCCGAGGAGUAAACUUGUAAUGAAAAGAAACCAGAACUCCCCAAGGUAGCUCCCCCUCACAGUCAUUCCUCAAGGCAGG